GACUCUGUAGCUCAGUUGGUAGAGCAUGGUGCCUGCAACGCCAGGGUUGUGGGUUCGAUUCCCACGGGGGACC
rnacentral:tRNA from 1 species